rnacentral:lncRNA from 1 species
CUGGAACCAAUUGAUUCAAAAUUGUUUGUCAAAAUUAUCAUGGAUAAUAUACAGAAGGAGCUUACUUUUUAAAGUGCGGCGGUAAUAUAAUAUGUAUUGGGUUCAAAUCCUCUCUAAGCAGUAGUGGAGGGAUUUUUCAAUUGGAUUUGGAAAAUAAUAGGAAUUGAUAAGGUUUCUCAGGUGACCAAGGGGGUGUUUUUGGUAAGGUUCCAAUGCUAGAAGAAUAAAGGGAAAGUAGUGGAUUAGGGGGAAGGGAGUUUUUAGUAAGGUUCCAAUGCCAGAAGAAUAAAGGGAAAGCAGUGGAUUGGGGAGAGGUACAUACGUU